UCUAACUCUCGCUUGCGCCUCCUUCCCCCCACGCCUCUCUCUCUCUCAAAUCUCCCUUCUCUCUCGCCUCUGCCGGAAACGUCUGCCACCGCCGGCACCGAUCAGCCGCCGGCCCUCUGGCCAUCUCUCCCUUCUUCCCUUCUCUCCUUCUUUCCUCUCUUCUCACUCUCUCUUUCGGUCUCCCUCUCAGCCAGCACCGCCACCGGCUGGAAACUGCCGCUGCCGCAGCGCCGGCCGCCGUCGCCGUCGUCGCUCGGGAGAAAUUAAGAGGGGUUGAAAAGGAGCCAAGAAGUGUCGUUGUUUGCCGGAUUUCGCCACCACCGCCGGAUGCUGUCGCCGCCGCCGACCCGGCGCUGCCGCUGUUGCUGACAGAGGACAGAAACUCCAGCCAGGUCCAAACCAUUGAAGGGGAAACAAAUAAACAAAUUUCUGUUAGGAGAAAGCAUAGAGACGGCGCUGUGCCACUUUUUUUAUGCUAGCUAUUAUGCGCAAGGUCAAAUGAGCCCUUUAUGCUAACCAGGCCACUUUUCACAUUCACAACGCGUUUAUGAGAGAAUCGGUCCACCCAGAGCUCAAAUGCAUUUCCAAUUCCCCGCUUCGUCAGGAAUAAGUGGUAGCAUUUACUCAUCUAGCCUUGUUAGCAUUGGAAUUGGUGCUAUGCCCUAAACACCGGAAAUUGGCUCUGAUGAUAUAGAACCUGUUGGAUCCCAGAUUCCUUCUAGUUCCUUCAUCUCACAUUUCAAUUGGCGAAGGUCCACAAACUCCUGAAAACGACAUCAUUCCUUCAUUCUCUUUUGCUUUGGCUAGCUACUAAUGGAACCUUCCAGUUGUGCAAAAGAAACUGGAAAUGCUGCAUAUCCUACUAAUGCAACUCUGUCUUCCUAGCAUCUUGGGACUAAUGUCUCUGAGCCAUUUAUGUACCAUACUAUCUCAGAGAAGAUAAUGGAGCACAAGUAUGAAUAGCAGCAGCCGAAAAGGAGUUGAGGAGGAGCUAACUUCUAAAGAGGUUAUUAGUGUAGACUUCGUUUUUCUCAAGGGUUGAUCUGCAAACUUAGUUGUUGCUUACUAACUUCUGAAGUCCUAGGUUUCCCGUGCUUCAAAUAAGUGAUAACAGUGUUCUUUGUUGCCCGAUUUCUUGAGCUAAGGAGAGAGAACUAUUCCGGUUUUGAAAAAUUAAUUUAAAAAGCCAUAGGGCCGAUCGUCUGAAUGAGAGCUUUAUGAGUUGCAAUCUUGUUGAUAUUGGUGCAUAAAGAUGAUUUAGGCAAUAGGAAUAAAGACCUCAUAUCCAAAUUAUCACAUGCCUGACCUUGCAUAAACCCCUAGUAAGCCAAUUUGAGCCCCAAAAGCCUAAUUUCUUUGUUGAAUAUUUUGAAGUCCUUAUAUCUGCUUACCUAUUAUAUCCAUUUGUUGGCCUAUAUUUUCUACCCUAGUCACUAAAAUUAAAGUGCUAGCACAUUCUUGGGAGGGUAUUAUGGUGGCAAGAAAAAGAUGGAGGUUUUGUACCAUUCAUUAGGUGGUAUUUAUUUAUACUGAGAUACAAAGGGAGUGAAUAGCUGUCCCCUUCAAACGAAAAUAGAAUAAAAAGGCAGCCUUUCAUGAGUAAAAAAAAAGCCAAGGCUAGAAAAAAAUAAAAAGGCAGCCUUUCAUAAGUAAAAAAAGCCAAGGCUAGAAAAAGAUAAAAAG